AUUGAACGCUGGCGGCAGGCCUAACACAUGCAAGUCGAGCGAGCGGCGGACGGGUGAGUAAUGUCUGGGAAACUGCCUGAUGGAGGGGGAUAACUCCUGGAAACGGUAGCUAAUACCGCAUCCCAUCAGAUGUGCCCAGAUGGGAUUAGCUAGUAGGUGGGGUAAUGGCUCACCUAGGCGAAGAUCCCUAGCUGGUCUGAGAGGAGGACCAGCAACACUGGAACUGAGAUACGGCCCAGACGCCGACGGGAGGCAGCAGUGGGGAAUAUUGCACAAUGGGCGCAAGCCUGAUGCAGCCAUGCCGCGUGUAUGAAGAAGGCCUUCGGGUUGUAAAGUACUUUCAGUGAGGAGGCGUUACUAGCAGAAGAAGCACCGGCUAACUCCGUGCCAGCAGCCGCGGUAAUUC
rnacentral:rRNA from 1 species